rnacentral:rRNA from 1 species
AUUGAACGCUGGCGGCAGGCCUAACACAUGCAAGUCGAACGGUAGCACAGAGAGCUUGCUCUCGGGUGACGAGUGGCGGACGGGUGAGUAAUGUCUGGGAAACUGCCCGAUGGAGGGGGAUAACUACUGGAAACGGUAGCUAAUACCGCAUAACGUCGCAAGACCAAAGUGGGGGACCUUCGGGCCUCACACCAUCGGAUGUGCCCAGAUGGGAUUAGCUAGUAGGUGGGGUAAUGGCUCACCUAGGCGACGAUCCCUAGCUGGUCUGAGAGGAUGACCAGCCAAACGGGAACUGAGACACGGUCCAGACUCCUACGGGAGGCAGCAGUGGGGAAUAUUGCACAAUGGGCGCAAGCCUGAUGCAGCCAUGCCGCGUGUAUGAAGAAGGCCUUCGGGUUGUAAAGUACUUUCAGCGGGGAGGAAGGCGGUGGAGUUAAUAACUUCACCGAUUGACGUUACCCGCAGAAGAAGCACCGGCUAACUCCGUGCCAGCAGCCGCAGUAA